ensembl:lncRNA ATP6V0D1-DT ATP6V0D1 divergent transcript
GACUGGGCCUUCUCUAGCUUUCCCCGGUUUGCUGCACUUGACGCUGCAGGGCGGGCGGGGUAAAGAAGGGAGCGAGCCCUUCUCAAGCUUGGAAAGUUUCCAGACUGCUGGGCCAGCCUCCUCCCCAGAGGGAAACUGAGGUCCGAUUGAGGUUUCUCCAAGACCGCCCACUCCUGCUCCUGUCCCCAAACCCCUUUCUGCCUAGGGUUCCUGGAAGCCAAGGAAACAGAACGAACUGUUCCCUGGGUGGGCGAGCCACUGCAGAGUACAAAGCUUUCAGGCCGCCUGCCUCAUUAGCACUAAUGGCUGCUCCCUUCCGCCCUGUGUCGUCAGGACUGUCUAUGCCUGGUCUCAUCAGCACAAGGCUGGGGUAAGGACUGCCCUUUUGUGGAGAUGGCAGGACAUACAGGACCCUGCUGCCCCUGCCUUCCCUCACCCCACUGCAGAGCUGUUUAUCACACACGUGUCCAUCUGGGAAAGGAAUGCAGGCUGAAUCAGCUUUGAGAGGAUCGCAAGGCCCCAGUGCACAAACUGGGUUGGCACAAGGCAGUGGAAAAAAGAUGAAGGGGGCCAGGUAUGGUGGCUCACACCUGUAAUUCCAGCAUUUUGAGAGGCCAAGGUGGGAGGAUCACAAGGCCAGGGGUUUAAGACCAGCCUGGGUAUCAUGGUGAGACCCCGUUGCUACAAAAAAUAAAAAAAUAGCUGGGUGUAGUGGUGCAUGCCUGUAGUAGAGGCUGAGGUGGGAGGAUGGCUUGAGCACAGGGAUUCAAGAGUGCAGUGAGCUAUGACUGCAUCACCACACUCCAGGCUGAGCGACAGAGCAAGAUCCUGUCUCAAAAAGAAAAGAAGAUAAAGGGUGGCCAGGCACGGUGGCUCACGCCUGUAAUCCCAGCAUUUUGGGAGGCCAAGGUGGGCGGAUCACUGGAGGUCAGGAGUUCAAACCAGCUUGGCCAAUAUGGUGAAACCCUAUCUCUACUAAAAAUACAAAAGUUAUUCAGGCAUGGUGGCACAUGCCUGUAAUCCCACCUACCCGGGAGGCUGAGGCAGGAGAAUCACUUGUAACACGGGAGGCAGAGACUGCAGUGAGCAGAGAUCGCACCACUGCACUCCAACCUGGGUGACAGAGUGAGACUCCAUCUUAAAAAAAAAAUGCUAUUUAAAAUGAAAUGAAGCAAUCCAUACUCCCAACAUUUAUAUAUACUGGGACAUCCAAGAAAUUAAAAUCACACCUCAUUAUGUCUUUUUCUUUGAGUCAGGGUCUCACUCUGUCACCCAGGCUGGGCCUGGUCAGCACCCAUGCUAUGGAGAGCUCUUCAUGGUCUGGUGUGGACAGAGUGGGAGUGGAAGAUCUCCUCCCACACAGGUGCUCAGUGUCUUACCUCACCUACGGGCAGCAGCUGUCUUCACCUGAGUGUGUGCACACAGGUGUAUCAGCCCCAUGGGCAGUGAUGGACGAGGGCUGAGGCACUCACAGGGCAGCCCAUGCCCCGGUCAGGUCCAGUGGGGGAGAUAUCAAGAAAACCCAGCGCCAAAAUGCAAUGAGCUGUGAUCGCGCUACUGCACUCCAGCCUGGGCGACAAAGCAAGUUGCCGUCUCAAAAAACAAAAACAAAACUAAACAAAAAAAAAAAAACGGCCAGGUGUAGUGAUUCACACCUUCUUGAGCCCAGGAGUGGCAACAUAGUGAGACUCUGUCUCUACCAAAAAAAAAAAAUUUAAUUAGCUGAAUGUGGUGAUGCACACCUGUAGUCCCAGCUACUCAGGAGACAGGGAGGAGGAUAGCUUCGGCCCAGGAGAUUGAGGCUGCAGUGAGCCAUGGUGGUGGUGGCUCACGCCUAUAAUCCCAGCAC